GGGCACAGUUGCUUUUGCUGAGCAGCAGGUGCAUUCGCUUUCAAUCUCAUUCUUCUGCAAGGAGUAUCCAUAUGUACUCAGACAGUGCCCCUGAAAAACAGAAGGAAUCACCAGCUGAACAGCUGCAAGAUAACCAAAAUUGACUCAGCUUGAAGCACCUUUAACAACUGAGGACCCUGAGGAAAUGAAGAAAUCUAAUAGUUUACAACAUCUGUAUAAACCCUCUACCCGCCUCAGUUUUAAAUGGCUCAGCAUUCAGAUGAUGCCUGACCUACUGACUGCUUCCAGCAUUUCCUCUUUUACUCUUGGACUGGGUGUGGUGGCAGUAUGUGGGAACCCAUGUUAUGACACAUUCAAUCAUUUUUGGCAACAUCGUUAUAUGUAGGACUAUGGUGCUCAAGUUAAUUUCUCUGGAACACAUUACUAUUGAGCAUUGCUUCCCACUGGGAACACAAUAGAAUAAAAAUACUCUGUAAUUUAAGUAAAACACUGAAAGAUAAAGAGGCCAGAAUUUGCCAUCAGCGGCUACCUGCCUGGUAUUUAGCAACAACCCGAUCAAGGCCCUUUGCAUCUACAGAGCCAUUACUGGAUCAUGUGGUGGGUCCAGGAAUAAAUCCCAUAGCCACUGUCACAACAUUCUGCAGAUGCUGGAAAUCCAGAGUAACACCUACAAAAUGCUGCUGGAGGAACUCAGGAGGUCAGGCAACAUCUUUGGAGAUGAAUAAAGAGUCCAUGUUUCGGGAAGAGUCGCGAUGGAGGGUCUCAAUGUGAAACAUUGGCUCUUUAUUCCUCUCCCUAGAUGCAACACAACCUGCUGAUUUCCUCUAUAACUUUGUGUGUGUAACUCUGAAAGGAAUCUUCAAUAGCUAACAAAGCCAGGCCCAUGACUUAGCUGGAACUACUAAAAGCCCCAGACAUUUAUUAAAGAAUUAUUCAAGAAACAUUUAAAGCAUUUAAACUUGUAAACCAUUCUGAAAAGUAAUUAAAAUAUUCAAAGAAAUAAAAUAAAAAGUAAUAAAAAACUAUUAAAACAUGAACUAUUUAGCAGCUAAACAAUAGAAAAGAUCUAAAAUUAAUUGAUUCUCAACUUGGCCCCCUUCUAGGCUUUCUUGUCUAAUGAACUGAAUGGGGAAACACUUCCUGAGUUUCAUUCAUCCUGGGAUAUCUGUGUUUCUGCAGAAAAAUCCUGGUUUUCCAGCAGUUAUGUACAAUCAUUGACACCUUCACAAUAUUUCUUAGGAAAAUUCAGGUCAAAUCAUCACUUGAGAGUAUUGUCCAGUUCACUGGGUUGAUGUUGCAGAUUUUGUUUGUUAUCUGCUAAAAUACCAGAAACAGUACCAGACAGUUCUGAUGAAGGCUCUGACAACUGAAAUGUCAUUUCUGCUUCUCUACUCAUGGAUGCUGCCUGACCUGAUGACUCUCUCCAACACUUCCUGGUUUUAAUUCUCAUUCCAACAUCUACACUUUUUCCUUUCAACUGUCUAUGCUGAAAUAGCCCGAUAAGCAUUUACAACAUUCACUUUGCUCAGUAGCUAAAUAGAACCCAAGCCUUUUUCUGGAUUAUUACAAUGUUAUAAAUUGGUAAUAUAUUGGUCGUUUCUACAGUGAUAAAUUUCACACAGAGGUGACGUGGUGUACUGAAGCAGGGACAUACAAUAGUACGGUGCAAUGGAACGUGACUGAUGUUCCUCACUGUCUCUUUCCUCUGAGAUGUGUUAAUCAGUGACCCACAGAGGGUGGUCCAGUACCAAGUGCUCCUUGGUGAUGGCAUUUGCAAGAGAAACAGUUUAUCAACCCCUCCAUUAAAAUUGCUGUGUGGAAACCUAAGAGAAUUGAAGACUAAAUUAUGGUGUAUAAAUAUAGUGCUAAAUCUAUGGAACAUGUGCAAGCAAGUGGACUUAAUAGCCCUCAGUCUCUUCCAAUUAAGCCAUCAUAGGUAGAAAACAAACAGAUGAUUCUGGUUGUUGAAUUUAAUUACUGAAGGGAGUUUGACUCUUCAUAUAAAACUCUCAAUUAUGGAUAUAUAACUUCGUGCUUUAAUAUUGCUGAAAUCUGAUUGUCUUUCAUUUCUUUAAUGAACUCCAAGCACAUUAUCGACUGUAUUAUCGGGAAUAGAAAAAGUCAUUUGCAUUACCCAAACCUGCUAACAGGGUUAGGAAAAAGAACUUACUUAUUGCCUUAAAGAAUUCCACUAACACAAAGAACAGUCUGUUGAGAAUUCAGUUCCAUCAGUAAUAAUCUCUUUUAAUCUGAUCAUCUAAUGACCUGUGGUUGUUUUCAAUUUUCCUGAGGUAAAUCCAGAGUGGAAGAGUUCUAUUAGCAUUCACUUUAAUAACCUGUAUUUGUGCAUGUUAAAAUGAUCCCUUUGAUACUGAGUAUACUUGCAAGCUGUCACUGUUUGCAGUGUGUGUGCUUUGCCAUUGCACUACACACUACUGCUAUGUGCACAAUACACCCUUCACUGUAACAUGCACUGCAAAAAUUGUCCUUUGUGGAGUCCAGCAUGUUCAGGGCUUCCAUGUGUACAUAUCCUGGGAAUUCAACUUAAAUAAGUCAGAAAUCUCUGGAACUUAGUUUGUGGGGGAUAUCACAGGGUGUUCUACACCCAGAUCUGGAGGAUAAUAUGCACAUAGAGAAAUUCUGAUGAAGGAUAUUCAACUUGAAACGUUAACUCUGCUUCUCUUCCCAGAGAUGCUGCCUGACCUACAGAGUACUUUCAGCAUUUUUAAAAAAUUGUAUCUAGUAUAGAACCUGCAAUACACAAGUUCCUGCUUACUACAGGCUUAAUUAAAUACAGCUGUCCAUAAUUUACAUGCUUGGCAGUCUGUCUGUCAGAAGACAAUUUGUGUCUGCGGUAGGAGAGGGUCAAUAGCCUACACCAGGGAAGUUAUACAAAGAGCAUCCAUUUAUGUAUACUUAAUCAUUAUUUGCAUGGCAGCUACAAGGAACUUGCGAUUGUUGCAUAUUGAAUCUAAGGUGUGGUUAAAGCCCAGGUUAACUAGCAAUUUAGUGAUGAGUACCAUAUGUUUGCAGAAGUGCUGUUGUGGCCAUGUUUGUGCUUAUCCUGAUUAUAUUGUAUUAUUAGUUAUUUAUGUUCAUUAUUUGAUAUAGUUCUUUGUUUCUAAUAAAAUUACUUAAUUUCAAAUUUGAUUUCUCUGCAACUUGAUCUCAGAAAAAUGUAUGUAUGUAUUAUCUUGAAUAAUGCACCCAAACUGCUGGAGGACUUCAGCAGGUCAGACAGCAUCUGUGGAGGUAAAUAAGCACUCAACGUUUUGGGUCGAGUACUUCUGGAGAAGGGAAAAGGGUCUCAGCCAGAAAUGCUAGCUGUUCAUUUCCCUCUAUUUUGAACGUGUUGCUCAAGAUUUCCAGCAUCUGCAUAAUAUCUUGUACAACCAAAGAUUUAAGAAUGGCUAUUGGGGAAAACAAAUCAGACAGAAAAGUAGUUCAAGAACAGAUUUCUCAACAUAGAUGAAAGAAUUGACUAAUGACAGCACGAAUAGCAUAAAAAACAAUUGCAACUUUUUCCACCCAAAGAGUGAUCAGUGCAUGGAAUAAGCUGGUUGAGGCAGGUACAUCAACAGCAUCUGGAGCAAUAGGGUCACGGAAAAGCCCAGCAUAGAAACAGGCUAUUCAGCCCAUCUAGUCUGUGCUGAGCCAUUUACAUUGCCUGUUCACAUCACCCUCCAUACCAUCCAUGAAUCUAUCCAAACUUCCCUUAAACAUUGAAAAAUGUUAAAUUUAAGAAGCAUUUGGGCAGGUGGAUGAAGAGGAAACAUUUGAAGGGAUAUGGGGCAAAUACAGACAAAUGGGAUUAGGUGACAUGGAAAUCUUGAGUCAGUGGGCUGAAGGACCUAUGUCGAUGCUGUAUCACUCUGUAACUAUGGCUCAAUGUACAAGCAGUUGGAUAUUCCAGCUCAUUUUAUAUUUAUUCAAUACUUCUGGAAAAGAUGUUGGAAAUAGGAAGGCAAACUUUCAAAAACAGUCAUAACUCCACUUGCUGGCAGUGUACCCAACUCAA